rnacentral:rRNA from 1 species
UUGGGAAUCUUGGACAAUGGAGGAAACUCUGAUCCAGCCAUGCCGCGUGAGUGAUGAAGGCCUUCGGGUUGUAAAACUCUUUCGACGGGGACGAUAAUGACGGUACCCGUAGAAGAAGCUCCGGCUAACUUCGUGCCAGCAGCCGCGGUAAUACGAAGGGGGCUAGCGUUGUUCGGAAUUACUGGGCGUAAAGCGCGCGCAGGCGGCCGAUCAAGUCAGGGGUGAAAGCCCGGGGCUCAACUCCGGAAUUGCCUUUGAAACUGAUCGGCUUGAACACGGGAGAGGUGAGUGGAAUUCCGAGUGUAGAGGUGAAAUUCGUAGAUAUUCGGAAGAACACUAGUGGCGAAGGCGGCUCACUGGACCAUAACUGACGCUGAGGCACGAAAGCUAGGGGAGCAAACAGGAUUAGAUACCCUGGUAGUUCUAGCCCUAAACGAUGAUUGCUUGGUGUAGCAGGUACCUAAUCCUGCUGUGCCGCAGCUAACGCGUUAAGCAAUCCGCCUGGGGAGUACGGUCGCAAGGCUG